UACGGAGGGCGCGAGCGUUGUUCGGAAUCACUGGGCGUAAAGCGCGUGUAGGCGGCCGAGCAAGUCGGAUGUGAAAUCCCGAGGCUCAACCUCGGUUCGCAUUGGAAACUGCGUAACUUGAGUGCAGAAGAGGAAAGUGGUAUUCCACGUGUAGCGGUGAAAUGCGUAGAUAUGUGGAGGAACACCAGUGGCGAAGGCGACUUUCUGGUCUGUAACUGACGCUGAGGCGCGAAAGCGUGGGGAGCAAACAGG
rnacentral:rRNA from 1 species